UGAGGAAUAUUGAACAAUGGGCGCAAGCCUGAUCCAGCCAUGCCGCGUGCAGGAUGACGGUCCUAUGGAUUGUAAACUGCUUUUGUACAGGAAGAAACAGUUCUACGUGUAGAACCUUGACGGUACUGUAAGAAUAAGGAUCGGCUAACUCCGUGCCAGCAGCCGCGGUAAUACGGAGGAUCCAAGCGUUAUCCGGAAUCAUUGGGUUUAAAGGGUCCGUAGGCGGUUAGAUAAGUCAGUGGUGAAAGCCCAUCGCUCAACGGUGGAACGGCCAUUGAUACUGUCUGACUUGAAUUAUUAGGAAGUAACUAGAAUAUGUAGUGUAGCGGUGAAAUGCUUAGAGAUUACAUGGAAUACCAAUUGCGAAGGCAGGUUACUACUAAUGGAUUGACGCUGAUGGACGAAAGCGUGGGUAGCGAA
rnacentral:rRNA from 1 species